rnacentral:rRNA from 1 species
UACGAAGGGACUAGCGUUGUUCGGAAUCACUGGGCGUAAAGCGCACGUAGGCGGAUGGGAACGUCGGUAGUUGAAAGCCCCCGGCUCAACCGGGGAAGUGGUGCCGAAACGACCCGUCUGGAGGGACGUAGGGGGACCUGGGAACUUCCGGUGGAGACGGUGAAAUGCGUUGAGAUCGGAAGGAACGCCCGUGGCGAAAGCGAGGUCCUGGACGUCUACUGACGCUGAGACGCGAAAGCUAGGGGAGCAAACGGGG